CCUACGGGAGGCAGCAGUGAGGAAUAUUGGUCAAUGGGCGGAAGCCUGAACCAGCCAAGUAGCGUGCGGGAUGAAGGCCCUACGGGUCGUAAACCGCUUUUGCACGGGGAUAACACCCUCCACAUGAGGAGGUCUGCAGGUACCGUGCGAAUAAGGGCAGGCUAGUUCCGUGCCAGCAGCCGCGGUAAGACGGAAGGCCCGAGCGUUAUCCGGAUUCAUUGGGCUUACGGGGAGCGUAGACGGGCGUGCAAGUCAUCUGUAAAAUCGCGCGGCUCACCCGCGCCCCGCAGUUGAAACUGGACGCCUUGAGUUCACAACAGGCAGGCGGCAUUCGUGGUGUAGCGGU
rnacentral:rRNA from 1 species